rnacentral:piRNA from 1 species
UCAGUGUGGAAAACACAGGACUUGGCAAUC